rnacentral:rRNA from 1 species
GAUGAACGCUGGCAGCGUGCUUAACACAUGCAAGUCGAACGGUGAACACGGAGCUUGCUCUGUGGGAUCAGUGGCGAACGGGUGAGUAACACGUGAGCAACCUGCCCCUGACUCUGGGAUAAGCGCUGGAAACGGCGUCUAAUACUGGAUAUGUGACGUGACCGCAUGGUCUGCGUUUGGAAAGAUUUUUCGGUUGGGGAUGGGCUCGCGGCCUAUCAGCUUGUUGGCGAGGUAAUGGCUCACCAAGGCGUCGACGGGUGGCCGGCCUGAGAGGGUGACCGGCCACACUGGGACUGAGACACGGCCCAGACUCCUACGGGAGGCAGCAGUGGGAAAUAUUGCACAAUGGGCGCAAGCCUGAUGCAGCAACGCCGCGUGAGGGAUGACGGCCUUCGGGUUGUAAACCUCUUUUAGCAGGGAAGAAGCGAAAGUGACGGUACCUGCAGAAAAAGCGCCGGCUAACUACGUG